UGGGGAAUAUUGCACAAUGGGGGAAACCCUGAUGCAGCGACGCCGCGUGAGUGAAGAAGCGCCUCGGCGCGUAAAGCUCUGUCAGCAGGAACGAUAAUGACGGUACCUGAAGAAGAAGCCCCGGCUAACUACGUGCCAGCAGCCGCGGUAAUACGUAGGGGGCAAGCGUUAUCCGGAUUUACUGGGUGUAAAGGGAGCGUAGACGGCGGGGCAAGUCUGGAGUGAAAGGCCGGGGCCCAACCCCGGGACCGCUCUGGAAACUGCCCGGCUGGAGUGCGGGAGAGGUAAGCGGAAUUCCUAGUGUAGCGGUGAAAUGCGUAGAUAUUAGGAGGAACACCAGCGGCGAAGGCGGCUUACUGGACCGUGACUGACGUUGAGGCUCGAAAGCGUGGGGAGCAAACA
rnacentral:rRNA from 1 species